ACGGAGGGUGCAAGCGUUGUUCGGAAUCACUGGGCGUAAAGGGCGCGUAGGCGGUUUGAUAAGUCAGAUGUGAAAGCCAACGGCUUAACUGUGGAAGUGCAUUUGAAAUUGUCAUACUUGAGUAUCAGAGGGGAAGGUGGAAUUCGUGGUGUAGAGGUGAAAUUCAUAGAUAUCAGGAGGAAUACCGAUUGCGAAGGCAGCUUUCUAGCUGAAUACUGACGCUGAUGCGCGAAAGCGUGGGGAUCAAACAG
rnacentral:rRNA from 1 species